CUGGAGGCUUAUGUUUCAGGCAGUGAGACGAGUUCGUUCUCAGAAGAUUCUGCGACUUAUCUUCUCCCGUUCUGUGGUAGUCUUUUUUUGACACAGCCAAUACAUCUUUUAUUCAACUGACAGGGACCAUAAGUCCCCUGUUGGGUAACCCAAGGAAGUUCACAGUUCAUCAGAAGGAACCAAUUCAGAUAAUAGCUAGAAAUCUGAUAGGCACGGAGCAGUUGGGCUGCAUGGCAAGUGGGCAUUCAUCCCCAAAGUUUCCUGGAAGAGGAUGCCCAGGUGCCUGGUGGCAAGAGACAAGGCAGGAAAGUGGUGGUGGGGGAGGGCUUGGCUGAAGAACACACUGAGAGCAGGAGCAAGGGUCACAUUUGAUCUCCCAGGCCUGAAAUUGCCAGUGCCUGGCACAUAAUAAGGACACAAAAAAUUGCUUGUAGAAUUGAGAGUUUGGGCUGGGCGCGGUGGCUCAGGCCUGUAAUCCCAGCACUUUGGGAGGCCAAGGUGGGUGGAUCACGAGGUCAAGAGAUUGAGACCAUCCUGGCUAACACCGUGAAACCCCGUCUCUACUAAAAAAAAUACAAAAAAAAAAAAAAAAAUAGGCGUGGUGGUGGGCGCUUGUAGUCCCAGCUACUCGGGAGGCUGAGGCAAGAAAAUGGCGUAAACCUGGGAGGCGGAGCUUGCAGUGAGCCGAGAUCGCGUCACUGCACUCCAGCCUGGGUGACAGAGCAAGACUCCAUCUCAAAAAAAAAAAAAGAGAGAGUUUGAUUCUCAGGAGUCACAGGAGACUGGAAGGAAGUAAAUUAAAAAUGGUGAAAAGUGGAAAACAACUUUGGAAGUUACCUGAUUGGAAGAAGAACCUCUAGGGAAUGGAGUAGAGGGGCCAGAUUUGGCAGUACUAGGCAGGGGGUGGAGUAGUGGUGGUGUCCUGUGGGAGUGUGUAUGAGAAAGGGGCAGAGUGGUGAGGUGGCUGAUGAACUGCUAUAGCCAAGCCAAGAAUUUGGAGGAUGAGAGUGGUAAGUAUGAAUUGACCCCUGCUUAGUAGGCUUAAAGCUGAUAGAAAAGAAACUGGACAGUAGGCAGAGGAAUAGGUAGUAAGUGGACUCAUGAUGGAAUAGAAUUGGCCAGAAGCUUGAAGAGAUAAACUAGAAUGGAAGAAGGAAUGGGGGUUGGAGAGAACAAAUGCCCUUGGAAGGGCAUGUUAUUGCUCAGUCAGAACAAAGCAAAACUCAAACAAACAAAAAAAUCUGAAAAAGAGUAUGAACAAAUUGUAGAGGAAGAAUGCUGCCUGUUGGGAAAAAGGAGGUGGUGGCAGGAAAGAGGGAGACAGCAUGAGGCCUGGAGUUGAAGAAAGUCUCAGCCUUGGGGUCUAAUCUUUUGACCUUGGAGAAGACCUGUGGGCAGAUUUAUAACUGUCAGUUCAGUCUGUCCUCAUAGGUGCGCCUGGGAGAGGAACUGGAGGAGGUAGCAGGGUCAGAGACUGCAAGGCAGAUUCCUCCCCACAGCCUGAAUCUGUCAGAAUCUUCUAAGCAGCAGAAUGCAUUUUGGGCACCAUGGCUUCAUUGGUUACAACCUCUACCUAGUAAGCAGAGUCUGGAUUUAAAUCUUGCUUGUGUCAAAUCUUACUAGAAAAACCUAGUUCUCUCUUAUGCCCUGGGGACUCUGAUGUUCCUGCUGCCCUUGCCCAUAGGGUAUGCCAAAUCAUGGUUAGAAAUCCCUUCCAUGGCCCCUCGUUGGUCUCUAAUCCAAUUUUUAUGUUGGAAAACUUGGGUUCUUAAGGGCUUGGCAUGGUAGGCCUUACUCUACCUUUGUGCUAGAUGCCCACUCCACCUGCCUCUUAUUAGAAGAGCCAGUGAAAAGGACAAGGCAAAGGAGAAUCAUUUCCUCGGAUGUCAGUUUUUCAGUUUUACAUUGGAUUUUCCACCUUUGAGUUGUUUAUUCCUUUCUGUCCUUUCAGAUUUCUGGACCCAAGUAUCCUCAGUGCCCAUAUUGGAAGCCCCAGCCCCAAUGAAUCACAGGAGCUUGGUAGUUGCCCCACCAUAGUUUCUGAUAUUGGUGACUAGCCCCAGUUCUUUUACUGAGUUAAGAGUGGAAGAAGACCUUGCAACUAAGGGGAAUGGAACUGAGGUCUAGCCUAGUGAGGCUACAGAGAAUAAACCUGACAACAGGAGUGUGAAGAUCCAUCCGAAAAGGGUGAGGUACCACUGCUUGAAAUAUGAAUCCCCUAGCCAGUGGUUCUCAAACUUUAGCUUGUAUCACACAUCCAGGAGGGCAUUUAGUUAAAAGACUGAACGUUGAGCUCCUUCCCGAGUUUCUGAUUCAGUAGUUCUCCUGGGGCGGGGGCUAAGAAUUUGCAUUUCAAACAAGUUUCCAGGUGAUAUUUAUGCUGCUGGCCCAAAGACCAAAUUUUGAGAGCCACAGUUUGGUAUGGCUCACAAGGGAAAAGAGGAAAAUUUUGCUAGCUCAGGCUCUCUAAGGAUCUAAAGGAAUGGAUUUCACUUUUCUGAUAUUGCCCAGCCCCACCCACUCCCAUUCAGUGCAUGCAUCCUAAUUCAGAGAUGGAAAGAACUGGCCUUCUGGCCUUUGUAGGUCUGAGUCAGGACCUGCCCUUGAUGGAAAUAGGAAACAGUGAUUUGAUUGCAGGAAUGUUGGAAAGGGAGGAAUUUUGUCCCAAAUUAUCACCUCUUUGGUUCUCUGAAGCCAUAACAUUACUUUGACAAGGGAAAAGUUUUUCCUUCCACAAUUAGAACUAAGGCGUAAAGUGUAAAUAGCCUGGUGAAAAGCUAACACUUUCGGUUACAGUCUCCUAUGCAAGGGAUUCUUUGAAAGAUACUAUGUUGGGGUGGAAAGGGGAGGAUACUCAGAAUAGGGUGGAGGUACCAGAUGGAAAAAUGUGACAGGUUCCUGAAGAUGAUAUCCCUGUUUUACAUUUUGCCCAAAGAGAACACAGAGAUUCUUUUUAUUUAAAGGGGACGGGGUGAAACAUGAACAU
rnacentral:lncRNA from 1 species